rnacentral:lncRNA from 1 species
AUGAACUCGGUUGACAAAUUGAUAGAUACAACAGAAAAUUGCAUAUCAACAAAAUAACAAUUCAGCAAAAUAAGUAAUAGAAUAGUAUCAUAAAAAUAGAAAACAUUGGCCGCGAGGUCUUAGAUUAUAGGACUUUAUCUAGUGUUCCGGAAAUCAUGGAAUUGUGAUACGAGUAAAACUAUCAGAUGAUUUUCGUGCUGGUAAACAAAUCUUUAAAUGAAAAUGUUAGGUGUGCCUGUCAAGUAUUAAGUCUGUUAGAAAAUUGGCAUGUUCAAAUUUGUUUUGGGGAAAAAAAAAA